UCAAUAAAGUUUUAGAUCAUCAUUGUAUCUUGAAUUGUUAAGAAGAGCAUUUUAUCAAAUUCCUUGUGUAAAACCCUUGUAUUUACACUUCCUUUUAUGUGUUCAAUUUCAUUCCCGAAAAAAACAAAUUGUAUUGUGCUUUCCCUUAGUUUGUUCUUUUCAUUGUUUUCUUGUUCUUUUUAUGGUUAUUUUCAUAAUUAUCUUGUCUUGCUUAUAUCGAAUAGCUCUCUAUUUCAAGAAUUGUUUGUUGAAGCCUACCUAAUAUCAUAAUUCAGCCACCUUCCCAAAUAGCUUACCUUUUUGUGUACAAACACGAGUGUUCCCAAGUGAAAAAAAAAUAGUGAAUUGCUUUUAAAUAUUACUAUGAGUCAAGGAGAGGGAGAUCAUGUGGAGAUUAUUGAAGCUCGGUAUAAAGAAGCACAAGUUGGUGUUACAACUCGAUUGACCCAAGUAGUUGAAUCCUUGAUGGAUCAGGUAACUAGGAUGGAAAGAGCUUUGAGGAAUCCUCAACAAAGAGAGGGUUACAAUGAAGGAGUUGAAAAUAAAGAAGAUGAUGAUAAUGAAACUCUUUUAGUUGGGCAAAACCCAAGGGUAAUGAUAGUGUUAGGCCAAGGUAGAGGAAGAUGAAGGAGAAGGGAAAGAAAGGGAGUACCUAAAUGAGAGAGGAGAGGAAAGAGGAAUCGGAGGAGUGAAGCUUACAAUUACUACCUUUCAUGGGACUACGAAUCCAGAGGAGUAUUUGUAAUAUUAGAGUAAAAUCGAGCUUGUUUUUUAUUGCCACAAUUUUAGCGAGAAAAGGAAAAUGAAGCUUGUUGUAGCUGAAUUUGUUGAUUAUGCAAGUGUAUAGUGGACAUCCUUGAAACUCGAAUGGAGAAAGAAUUACGAAGAGCCAAUUGAAACAUGAGUUAAAGGCCCUAAUGAGAAAAAAAGUACAUUCCUAAGCACUACAUUAGAGAACUCAAGCAAAAGCUUUAUUCUUUGUAGCAAGCAUCCAAAUGUGUGGAUGAUUAUUAUAAGGAAAUGAAAACCCUUAUGAAUAGAGCAAGCAUUAAUAAAGAUGAGAAGGAUACAAUGACUAGAUUUCUUGGAGGAAUGAAUCGAGAAUUAGCCAAUCAAGUGACAGGAAAAUUUACUUCGACAUGAAAGAAUUGUUACACCUUGCUGUCAAAAUUGAAUGGCAAUUAGCUUGGGAGAAGUUACACAACAAGAUGUAUGCUUCUUCUAAAUCUACUUCUAUUUCUACUAACACUUGGCAAAAGAAUGAAAAUACUGGAAAAGUUGAUUUCAAGCCUGGGAAAAAUUUGAGUUUGACAAGAAGGAUAAGGCUGAGAGCUCCAAGGGCAAGGAAAAGUUGGAGGGAUUCAAGGAGGUUCGAGAAAAAAAUAGAGAUAUCAAAUGUUGAAAAUGUCAAGGAGUUGGUCAUAUUAGUCAUGGUUGUCCAAACAAGCUAACCAUGAUCAUAAAAAAUGGAGAAGUUGUCCUCGAUAAAGAAGAAAGUGACCAAGAUGAGCUAAUUAAAGAAAAAGUUGAAGAGAGUGAGGGCGAACUAGAAGAUGGGAGUAGAUUGACACUUGUUACAAGGAGACUUCUUAGCACUCAAGUUAAGGAGAAUGAUAUCAAAGACCAAAGAGAUAAUUUUUUCUACACUAGGUGUUUAGUUAAUGGGACUCCUUGUGGUUUUGUUAUCCACAAUGGAAGUUGCACCAAUGUCGUAAGUAUAUUUAUGGUCAAACAAUUGUAAAUUCCGACUCAACACUAUCCUAAGCCUUACAAGCUUCAAUGGCUCAAUGAUAGUAGAACACUGAGGGUAGUUUCUCAAGUUUUAAUUUCUUUUACCUUGGGAAAGUAUAAAGAUGAAGUUCUUUGUGAUGUGUUACCUAUGCAUGCUGGAGAUAUAUUACUUGGUCGGCCUUGGCAAUUUGAUAAGAAAGUCUUGUAUGAUGGAUACUUGAAUAGGUAUUCUUUUACAAAAGAUGGGAGAAAAACAACUCUUGUAUCUUUGUAUUCUAAAGAUGUAUUUUCUGAUCAAUUGAAGUUAGAGAAAAAAAAGAAAAGAGUUUGAAGAAAAAGAGUUGAGAGAAAAAAAGAGGUGAGUGAAAAAUUCGAAAAAAAUCGAUGAGAAAAAAAGAGUGGAGAGAAGAAAACUGAAAAAAAUAAUGAAAUUGAAAGAAAAGAAAGUGAGUUGUUUGGAAAAAGUGGGAGAAGUGAGAAGGGCAAUAUUUUUCCAAAAAUCAAUUUUUGUACUUAUGUACAAGGAAGGAUAUUUAGCCUCUAAUGUUAACAAGUUGUCUUUGCCUAGUGUUUUUCAAUCUCUUUUGCAGGAAUUUGAAGAUGUGUUUCAAGAUGAAGCUCCUAAAGGACUACCACCUACUAGAGGUAUUGAGCAUAAAAUGGAUUUCAUUUCUGGGGUUAUCAUUCAAAAUAGGCCAGCCUAUAGAGCAAAUCCGACUGAGACAAAGGAAAUUCAGAGGCAAGUGGAGGAGCUCAUGGAGAAAGGCUAUGUUCAAGAAAGCUUGAGCCCAUGUUCUGUACCGGUCUUAUUGGUGCCAAAGAAGGAUGGGACUUGGUGCAUGUGUGUGGAUUGUAAAGCCAUCAACAAAAUCACUGUAUGGUGACACUACUUAUGGCCAAGAGUGUUUGUGAUCCAUACUGAUCAUGAAAGCUUGAAGCAUCUUAACGGUCAAAGAAAAUUGAAUCAUAGGCAUGCAAAGUGGGUUAAAUUUAUUGAAACAUUUCCCUAUGUGAUCAAAUAUAAGCAAGGUGAUGAAUUUCCUGAUUCGAGGACAAAUCCUUUUGAAGAGGGGAAGAUGAUAAGAACCAAGGUACUCCUCAUGUUCCGGUUAGACCAAUUACAAGAUCCAAGGCAGCAAAGAUUCAACAAUCAUUUAUUUUUCAUGUACAAGAUUGGACAGGGUCAGUUCAUCCUCUAUUUUAUGUGAAAAAUGUUGAUCCCAUAGACGACGGACCAUUUGGAGUAUUGAAGGUCAAUGUUUGCUCUGUUGAAGUGGAACAUGGAGUAGACAUUAAGUUUCUAUGACUUCAAGCACUUUGAAGAAUUUUUAUAUUUAAGAUCAAGACAAUUUAUUGUAAUUUCAGCUUUAAUUUUAUUUCUAUGACUAGUCAAAAAUGGAGGUUGUCACUAAUGAUGUUACAUUAAAAAUGAUGGAUGGAAGAUAGUGUUUGGAAGAUGAAAAACUCU